GCGAGAGAGAGAGAGAGACCGAACGGGAAACCAGUUGCCGUGGCACGUCGAGUCGACCACAUUCCAGGCGAAAGAGUUCGUGCAGCGCCGUCGGCUGCAGCAGCGGCAGAGGCAGCGACUGCAUGUGGGGGCCUCACUUUGGAGUUCCACUGUGCUUCUUUUUUUGCUUUUCCCUGGGAUGCUUGGCGCUUGGCAUGCGACACCCCGAGAGAAAAAAAGAACGGGGAGAACCAGAAACCCUAAAAUAACACUGAAUAAGGGAAACGAAACUUGAAAUACCCUCGUAAAUUGGGGAUCUGGCAUCGCAUUCUUUAGAAAGCUAGAAAGAUAUUGAAAUUUUACCGAAACCUAUACUUUAGUCGCACCACUCCUAUGACAUUUCCGGAAUUCUGAACGGAACAGUUAUCAUUUUUAGUACUACAAUAUGUUCGAUGCGUUGAUGUAUUAGGGAAAUGAAGACGCCCCAAGAAAAACAGGGGAAACAACAAUAAGAAGUGGCGCCCAACACAGAAAGCGAAGAAGCAGCAGCAGCUUAAAGCCGAUCAAUCGCCAUCGAUAUCGGUCGGCAUGCCUUGACUGUUUAUCUUUCGUCAGCGCCUUUCAAUUCAUUCCAUUUCCAUGUUGCCUUGCAGAUAAGAAAACCGUGAUAACGCAACGCCGAAGAGGAGCGGAGUGAUAAGGAGGCGGGGAGGGGAGGGGCAUCCUUGACGGCAAGCGGCAUUUCAAAUGCCCACAAUUUAUAACCUGUUUGCCUUAAUUUCUUACUCAAAUGGCCAGCGAAUUACAAUAAAUUCCUUAACCAGGCAUGUAAUCGCGUUAUCAUCAUUAUUUACAAUUAUAACAGCAGCACACACACCUUCAUAGAUGGGAAAGAAGCAGCGAAAGACUUUGGACUGAGUGCACCCGGAGAAAUUUCGGAGUACAAAAAGAUAUCUAUAAAUUGAACGUCACAAUAAAA